UCCCUGGUGGUUCAGUGGUAAAGAAUCAGCCUGCCAAUGCAGGAGACACAGGUUUGAUCCCUGUUCUGGGAA
rfam:Ovis aries breed Texel chromosome 12, whole genome shotgun sequence.